rnacentral:rRNA from 1 species
UAGGGAAUCUUCCACAAUGGACGCAAGUCUGAUGGAGCAACGCCGCGUGAGUGAAGAAGGUUUUCGGACCGUAAAGCCCUGUUGUUGGUGAAGAAGGAUAGAGGUAGUAACUGGCCUUUAUUUGACGGUAAUCAACCAGAAAGUCACGGCUAACUACGUGCCAGCAGCCGCGGUAAUACGUAGGUGGCAAGCGUUGUCCGGAUUUAUUGGGCGUAAAGCGAGCGCAGGCGGAAGAAUAAGUCUGAUGUGAAAGCCCUCGGCUUAACCGAGGAAUUGCAUCGGAAACUGUUUUCUGAGUGCAGAAGAGGAGAGUAGAACUCCAUGUGUAGCGGUGGAAUGCGUAGAUAUAUGGAAGAAUACCAGUGGCGAAGGCGGCUCUCUGGUCUGCAACUGACGCUGAGGCUCGAAAGCAUGGGUAGCGAACAGGAUUAGAUACCCUUGGUAGUCCA